CCUACGGGUGGCAGCAGUGAGGAAUAUUGGUCAAUGGCCGUAAGGCUGAACCAGCCAAGUAGCGUGAGGGAAGACUGCCCUAUGGGUUGUAAACCUCUUUUAUGCGGGGAUAAAGGUGUCCACGUGUGGGUGUUUGCAUGUACCGCAUGAAUAAGGACCGGCUAACUCCGUGCCAGCAGCCGCGGUAAUACGGAAGGUCCGGGCGUUAUCCGGAUUUCUUGGGUUUAAAGGGAGCGUAGGCCGCUCUGUAAGCGGGCCGUGAACUUUUGUGGCUCAACCAUGGGAGUGCGGCGCGAACUGGGGACCUUUAGUGUGUGGAAGGCAGGCGGAAUUCGUGGUGGAGCGGUGAAAUGCUUAGAUAUCACGAAGAACCCCGAUUGCGAAGGCAGCCUGC
rnacentral:rRNA from 1 species